rnacentral:lncRNA from 1 species
AAAUUUGAAACCCUAGUGCCACUACAUCCACCACCAUUGCCGUCGCCACAGUCAAGCAAACGUCACCACUCGCCAGUAACGCCACCAGACUCGCCAUUAUCCGAUGACUGAGCUCCAACCAUCACCAUCAAUAAACUGCAGCCAGCAACCACUGGACAAUAGCUACCCACACCUGCAAGCCCCGACACUCAACCCACCACUGUUCAGCUACCUUCAUUGCCAGCCUACGCCACUACCAAACACACAAGCCACCACCGACUAAACCCAGCUAAUCUCGCAAUCAACUGGUGCUCGCAC